CAGGGAGAAGCUACACCCUGAGGACUGGGAAGCAGAGGUUGCCGGGAAGAGGGAAGGUGAAGAAAUAUGAUCUGCAGUGAAGAACUGAUUGGAUAAUGGUACCUGAAGAAUAGAUACCAGUGGGUUCACUGUCGAACUGGAAGGAAGCAUCUAGUUGAAUUCAGCAGACGUGUCACAGUUUGUCAGGUUAAUAUGAUCAAGUGUGUUGAAAAUCCCAGUUUCUUGUAAUAGAAAGUUUAACACACCCUGAUGAAAACAGAGUCUUAUGAAGGAUUUGGGUCACGCAAACAUAGAGAGCAGGUCAAUAUUUUGUAUGGGCCAAGACUACUACUUCUCUUCUGCAUUCCCCACUCACCUAUUGUUUGUGAGUUUUUAGGCUUUCAAGGACACAAGAGAGACUUGAUCAGCUGGGCUUGUAUUUCUAAUCUACCAAUCUGCACCUGCCCCUUGUAUUCAGUUAUAUGUCACCAAAACCCAUCUACACUUAAACCAACUUUAUGUUUUCUCUGGGUUAUCCAGUCAGGUG